UCUCCGAAUAAGCUAUGGUAUGGUGUGCCUUGAUAUUUAUUAAAUGUUCAUAUCUUGAAUGCCUGGCUGUGUUACACACAAUCACAGUCAGCAUAAAAAGAUUCAUUUCAUAUUGUCAUAUGGCUGUGUAAUCAUUUCAUGUGCUUUUGUGAUGUGUUGUCGUCGCACAAACAACUGCUUCCUUGCAAUUUCAGGUGGCGGUACACCCUCACCAAGCCAAGCGACCAACGAGCUACGGCAAGUCGGAGCUAUUGCGUCACAUAUGGCAGUUCGACUGUCAAAUCCAUUCGACAGCGACCGCAGCGGACAUCACGCUGUGUCAGGCGAAUCGCAGUCAUGCUAAUCCCAGUGCACACCUGCUGUCGCUGCACUACUGUCGCCGACGCAGAAUGAGCCUCUAGGUGAGGCAAAUGGUAGUCAAGACGCGGCUGAUGAGCCCGACUACUGGUUCUGGGAUGAUGCUGGCAGGCCACCAGCAGAACCUGAAACAAAUUCUGCCCCAUUACCGGCCACUACAGACAGCCGAGCGCUCGUUCAUGGUACAACAAUUCAGGAAGCUGCUGUGACAGAGCCCGGUGCUGCAGCAACUUCAAACGCUCCUGUGCCAGCUCGCACAAGACGCCCCACGACAAGCAGCAGCCAGAGACAGACGGCGGUCUCCCUUGAACUGGCUGCCCGCCUCAGUGCCAUCAAGGACGACCGUGAAGAAAAAAAAUGAAGAUUAAUUGAAAAUGAGAUUCAUGCGCCUCGAGCACAAAUACAAAUAUUUGCACAGGCAAGCCCAACAUGAGCAAACUAUGCAGCUUCUUCGGCUGAAAGAAGCCAACCAAAAAAGAAAAGCGGAAAUUCUAAAGCUUCAGCUAGAAGCUUCGAAGAAACAGUAAACGUCUUUGUUGUUGCUG